GUGGGUUGCCAGUUCCUCCUCCAAGGGAUCUUCCUGAUCCAGGGAUUGCACGCUCAUCUCUUUUGCCUCCUACAUUGGCAGGAGAUUAGGACACACGAAGAAACAUCAGGGAUCCACACGCAUAAGGAAAGACCAGGUGAAGACACAGAGAAGGUGACAUCUUCAAGCCAAGGAGAGAGGCCCAGAAAAUACCAAACCUGCUGGCACCUCCAUCCUGAACUGAGAGGAAAUUUAUUUUUGUUAUUCAGGCCAUCCUGGCUGUGGUGUUUUGUUAUAGCAACCCCAGAAAACCAGUACACCGCUGGUUAUCUUUUCACUUUUGUGUGUGUGUGGCUACACUGCGCAGUCUACGGGAUCUUAGGUCCCCGACUGGGGAGUGAAACUGUGCGCGCUGCAUUGGGAGUGCAGAGUCUUAACCUCUGGACUGCCUGGAGAAGGGAUUGGCUACCUACUCCAGUAUUCUUGCCUGGAGAACUCCAUGGACAGGGGAGCUUGGCGGGCUACAGCCUGUGAGGUUGCAAAGAGUUGGACAUGACUGAAGGACUAACACUUUCACGUUGCAACGCUCAGUUCAGUUCAGUGGCUCAGUCAUGUCUGACUCUCUGCGACCCCAGGGACUGCACCGCGCCAGGCUUCCCCAUCCAUCAGCAACUCCCAGAGCUUACUCAAACUCAUGUCCAUUGAGUCGGUGAUGCCAGCCAACCAUCUCAUCCUCUGUCGUCCCCUUCUCCUCCUGCCUUCAGUCUUUCCCAGCAUCAGGGCC
ensembl:lncRNA